UCUGGUGGUGCUGACUGCAUUUUCCGUUUGCAGACUUGCUGGUGUGAGUCCCACGGGGAAAACAAAAUUGCUGAUCUAUUUCCUCUGAUGGGUUUGCUUCCUUUAGAAGGGGUCCGAAUAAAGCUCGGCGUAGAUCCCUGCUUGUUCCUGCCCUCUUGGGAAAACUGAAUGUGUAAAUCUUCACUGUCCUUACUGAUCAAGGCCAAAUCACAGAUUUCAGUUACCACAGUGGGAAGCGCCAUGCGGUCAUGAAGGGUGUAGGAGGGAGGCCAUGCCGUGGUCCCUAAUGCAUCAGAUUGGAGAAGGGCUAAGGAGGGGGAAGUGGGCUCUUCGGUGUUUCCGUGGACAUCUCCCAUCUGCUCACUUCCCGCCAGGGUCACUGUCCUGAACUCUUUGUGGAAGCUGGUAUUUUUCUCUUCGACUGUGAUGCCUUCUCUUGCUCGACCUUCCUGAAUCCCCUUGUCUCAUUUCCAUGGACGUCUUUGUCCUCACGGACCUUUGGUCCUUCUGCUUCAUUGCAGAUAUAAGUCCAAACAAGAUGGAAAAGGAUGCGGGGUCCAGCCCUCCCCUGCAGCCUGUCGGUGUGGAGCUGCCAGAGGUCCUGUGGCAUUUAGGUGGGAAAGCCGCUGCAGGUGCACACAAGGGGCAGGGUCUGUGAGAGCCCCAGGGGUGGCCCCAGGGCGUGUGCAAUUUCUGGAGAUUUGUCUGUGCAAACGCUUAGCGGAGGGGCAGAUAGGAAGGCCUCCUGACAGCAGGUUGGAGGGGGAAGCUGAGGGAAUGAGGUAAAAGGUGUGGUGCAGGUGGAAAUGGGCCACGAGCGCAGGGCCCCAGAGAAGGGACAGGCGUGUGUGAAGCAGGCGGGCUGCAUCCCUGCAUGGAGGUGCCAGUAAGGCCUCUCCAGGCGGGUCCCAGACUCGGCCUGUCGGGCUCGCCCGCUCUGGGCAUCUACCUGCUUCGUCCUUGCUGACUCCAGUCCCAGCAGGAGCAGGAAAGACCAGGAAGACCAGGAAGACCGGCCUGAAGCAGGUCUCCCAUUUUCUCGGGAGAAAGGACUCCUUCCGCUCCCCUCCGCUCGGACACUUGGUUUACGCCUUGUGCACACGUGUGCUGUUGUCCUGAGGAGUGCAGCCUGUAUCCCGCCACUCCCGUGAUAGAAAGCAGGAAGGCGAUUCGUCGUCCAUUAUCAGACUGGGAGGACCCUGCCUCGGGGUCAGCAGCUCCGACAGGUGGGGUCCACUCCAGCCUCCACCCCACCGGCUGGCGAGCCUGGCUAGAACGACCCCCCACCUCCGUGCACCCUCGCUAAGGUGUCUUCUUUGCUGACUCAGGAGACACCCCAGCUCUCGUGGCCCUGGACAUGUCCCUUGAGCCCCUUCCCGGGGUGCACAGAUGUGGGGAGGCUCCGGCCACCCUGUCUGGGGCAGGUCAGGAAGCAUCGAGACGUCCUUGCGUUCCGCUGCCGUUGCCUUUUCUCCUCUUACGAUUCUUUCCGACGGCAGUUGAGAUUAGUCCUGUGCCCCUGGGGCAGUGCCCGGGCUCUGUCACCUAGAUGCUAACUCCAGUGUCUUCACCCCGCUCAGUGCUCGCUGGGCUUCACCGUGUGGCUCCUUCUGGCUCACAGUCCUCUGACAGCCAGAGUCAAAGCCAGGGCUUGGGACGCCCACCCAGCCCUGGAGUCCACGUGAGAGGUGGGUCGGGCCUCAGCGAGUGACGUCGGCAUGCAGAGCCGAUUUCCUCCUGUGCGAGAGCAGGACAGCACCUGCUUCGUGAGCUGGUGGGGCCUGUGGGGCCUGUGGGGGUGAUUAUACACUAUUAACUGACAGGAAGUGUAUGAAGCAGCCGUUAGCUCACAGUGAGGACCAGGGAACGGUCCUAAAUAAAUGUCAUCGAUUUACGUUCCCGAGCGAGCUCGGGUUGCAGUCUCGGCUCUCGGUCCUGCGGGAAGCUCUUCCUUGGCUGAAUGUACUGGGCGCUUAGCGCCUUGUUUGCACCUGCGUGACCCCAGAUGAGGGACCCAUCUUUGGACCCUCUGCAUUCUCUCUGUCCACCAUACCCCCCUCUUGGGCUUUCUGCAAGCGUCGGGGCAGUUCGGAGAUGACGUGAGAUGUGCUGUUUCUCCAGGACGCGGAGGAAGAAGGUGGACGCCCAGGACCAGCCCCCUUCCUCCCUGGAGGCUGUCAGCUGGGCUGCGACAGGGCAGCCUCAGGUCAAGGGCACCAGUGGCAGCUGCAGCUAUGGGUGUGGGGUGAUGGCUGGGGGGAGCAAGUGGAAUCACACGUGUGUCCUCGGGGCUGUGGUUUGCACCUGGUCCAGAGGGCACACUCCCGGGAGAAGAGUGGGCUCUUGGAGGUUCCGGCUCAGCUCCUCGAGAGUGACCGACCUCUUGGGAAGCUGGUCUCUACCGGCCCAUCUCCUUGGCUUCGGGGCCCUCUGUACCCAGCAGGCCCCGGGUGACGUGGCCCCUGGGAGUGUGCUUGGUGUGUGUGCACGUGUGCCUGUACAUGUGGGUGUGCGAUCUCUGCCCUUGGGGCCUGGUGGUCCCCAUCCGGGUGGGGUGUUCCAGGCUGCCCUGCUGACCACUGGCUGUACCCCAGCACCUGGAACAGACCCAGCAGCCUCUCCACCAGCACUUCUGAUGGACGAACACCCCCUGGAAGCCUUUUGUUCCCUGCUUUCUGUGAAGAUCUGAAUCCUGUUUCUGCUGUUUCUGAUCAUAUUUACCUUCGAAAUUAGCCCUUGGCCGUUUGGAAGCUUCCAGGUGCUGGGGACCCUGUGUCUAAUUGCUGCUGGUGUGAGCAGUGAUGAGCAUGGCCAGAUGUGGGAGCUGAGAACCACAGUGUGAUCAGCCGUCGGGCUCUGCUGUGCGUGGCCCGGGGUGUGCAGUCUUCUUGGCACGUGGCCUGACACACCUGUCUCCCGGUGGGGCGGAGGAGGGCGGGCAGGCAUGGGAUCUUCCUGUGUCCUCUCUUACAGGGAAGACUGCUGUUCAGCAUCCCCUCUACUCACAGCUGUCCCUUGACUUCUGGGUGCACCUUGCACUCACCCUGGACCAUCAGCAUCUGAGCUGUGGUGUGCACGGGCCAUGGCAUCGCAAAGCUCAGAGGCAGUUCCACGCAGUGUCCUCCACGGAGGGCUCCCAGGACUGGGCAGACAGAGGUCCCGCCUCCCAGGGAGUCCUGCCUGGAGGUCUGCUCGGCUGCAUGCACCUGUCCACCUCCAGACGCUCGCACCAUGUCUGAGGGGAAGUCGAAUGAGAAGCUCUCUGUUAAGUACUCAGGACACUGCCAGCUCAUGGUGAGUUCCCCGUCCACAUUGGGAAGCAACUGCUGCGGAAUUGUUCUCAGCGCUGUGGAGGUGCUCCCCUGAGGUGGUGACACCAGGCCUGCAGCGUUCAGCACGACUGCCCACCUGGGGCUUUGAGCUCCACCCUCCCCUGCCCCACUUGGUCUCUUUCUGCAGCCAUUAGCCCUCCUUACUGCCCCUCAGGCUCACCGUGCAGUUCCCACCUCAGGGCCUUUGCAUGUGCUCUGCGUCCCCAGAUCUGCACUUGGCUGGCUCCUUCCCAUCAAUCAAGUGGCCCCUCCUCACACAGCCUGACCCCCGCUACCCCCACUGGAGAGCUAAAGCUCCUCCUGCACCCCAACCAGCUGUACAGUCAUCACCAUAUUUGUUCUCUUAUGCUAUAGGGUUAAUUUAAGGAACACGAGCUGGAGGAAGGCAGUCACUGACUCUGUUGCCAUAACACGGGGUAUGUGGUGGCUACUUGGUAAGCAUGUGCUGGGUACACUGAGUGAACUGAGUGAACGAAGAAAUUAUUAUUUUUUUAGAGAUCACGACCACGUUGUUGUUCAGGAAUAGCCCUGCCCAGCUCUUUUCCCAGGUUCAGUGUCCACUCUCUGUUCUGUAACAUGUACCUUUCAGUCUCAGUUGGGAACCCAGUUAGCUCUUAAUUGGACUCCAAUUUUUUUUUAAAGAUUUUAUGUAUUUGACAGAGAGAGACAGCCAGCGAGAGAGGGAACACAAGCAGGGGGAGUGGGAGAGGAAGCAGCAGGCUCCCAGCUGAGGAGCCUGAUGCGGGGCUAGAUCCCAGAAUGCCGGGAUUACGCCUUGAGCCGAAGGGAGACACUUAACGACUGAGCCACCAAGGCACCCCUGGACUCCAAUUUUAAGCAAACCAGUGACUUCACCCUUUAAAAGUAACUUUAAAGCAGCUCUAGGGUAAUGGGCAUUUGUGUCCACAGUUUAUAGAAUUCAGCUCUAAACUCUGCAGAGCUGCACUCAGAACGCUAGUGCUUAAAAAUGGCUUAUCCACACAUGUCCUUUGCUGGGUGAAAAUAGCCUCUCGGUGUCAUGUGGUCAAACUGUGUGGGUGUGCAGGGGACCUUGACUGUGUGUAGAGGACACAGGGACUCUGCCUGUGCUCAGAGCCUCUUCUCUGAGCAGGUCGGGACUGCAGGGGUGCGUCGUCGGUCUGGGGAGCACUCCUGUUCUAAUCUGGGGAGCUCCCUGAGCCGCUCUGGAAGUCAGGGACCCGCAGAUGGGGCUGUAAUAGAUUCCAGGAGGUAACUGGUCAAAUAAAUUUACUUUUUAACCCCCGCUCCCAAACAAUCCCUAGUGGAACAAUUAACACGUAGACACCGAGCUCUAAGGAAGACAGCUUCUAGAUCAUUAACAUUCUGGGGAGGGGGGCUUCUGCCAUCGAACGGCUUCGCUGCCGCACACAUUUUCUCUUGAGGCUGUUGCGACGACAGACCCCGCUUCUGGUCCUCACGUGCAGCCCCGGGAGGAAGCUCUGGCCACCUUGGGUCCAGGGGUGUCCUCAAAAAAAAGACACCCAACCUCACACGCAGUUGUGCUGAGCACAGGUCUGCCCUCUGGUGGCACUUCUGUUUGUUCCACCUGCUGACCUCCAGGGACAUAUCAGUCCUUAGUCCCCACCUCCUGAGGGUUGGGACAGGGGUUGCCAAGCCCAGAGCCUCGCUCCCUGCCACUGCGUUCAUUCCCUGCGGCAGGGUCGCAGGGACCACGAAGUCAGUGCAGAAUUACUCUCUUGAAGUUCCAGAGAUCCAAAGACUAGGCGAGUUUCAUGGGGCUAAACUCAAGGUGCCGGCAGGGCUGGUCCCUCUGGAGGCUCCUGCCCCUUCCAGCAUCUAGAGGCUGCUGGUCACCCCUUCGUCCAUAUUCCAAGCCGUCUCCUGUCUCUGCUUAUGGUGUCACAGCCCCUUCUUCUCUGUUCUGAUCUUCUCACCUCCCUUUAUGAGGACCCCCCCUCCCCGGUAAUUCAGGUGCUUAUCUUCAUCACAUCUAUGGAUGCCUCUGGCUGUGAGGUCCCACUGUCACAGGUUCUCGCCAUGAGGGAUGUGGGCACCUUUGGGGGCCCUGAUGGAGCCCAUUACACCCAUGUUCCGGUGUGAACCAUCCUACAGGUACUUCGUCCUUGGACCCAGGCUAGAGCCCCAGCUGCAUGUCACAAGAGCCUGUAGUGGGGCCCUCUCCCCAGUGUUCCCGAAAGAGGUUGGCUCGCACGGUUCAGAAGGGCCUUCUCAUGAGUGGUUUUUAGCCAAUGGCCAGUCACUGUGGCUGCAGUCCUCCCUACCCCAAGCAACCAUGAAGUGGAAAACAGA